UUUCCCCUUCUAUCCUUCAACCAUGUUGAGGAGGAAAAGUUACUGCUAUGGCUGCCUGGUAAAGAAGAAAUGAGGUGUGAGAGACAAAAGCUUUAUACUGUGCCCAGUGCCCAGCGCAGGAUAGCAACCCUUAAUAGUUGACAAACCAGUGAAGGAAAAAUAACGAGUAUCUUAGCCAGAUCUUCCCCAGGUUGGGCUCCAGACAAUUCUCCAUAGCCUCAUCUCUUUCUCCAAAGGAUCUUUAUUCUCUGUCCCAUUGUAUUAGUUUUUUUAUUGCUGUGUAAAAAAUUUCUACAAACUUAGUGGCUUAAAGCAACACACAUAUAUCAUCUCAGAGUUUCUGGGCACAGACUAGCUGAGACUGCUGCUCAGGUGACAAGCUGCAAUCAAGGGACUGACAGGGCUGCGCUCUUAUCUGAAGGCUUGACUGGAGUUGGUCCCAGACAUGGACACAGGCAGUUGACUCUCAAGAUCACACACACUCAUUCAGCUUGCUGACAGAAUUCAUCUCCUGAGAUGUAGGAUGAAGGUUCCCAUUUUCUUACAGCUGUCGGCAAAAGCCCCUCUCAGCUCCUAGAGGCUGCCCACAGUUCCUUGCCAACUGACCAUCUCACCACAUGCAGCUUCCUUCUCCAAAGUCAGCAGAGAAGAAUCUCUCUCCAGUCUACUUAGAGCUGUGUGUGUGUAACGCACAUGUAUAGGGUCACUUCUGCCAUAUACAGGCAUGCCUUGGAGAUGUUGCAGGACCACCACAUAAAGUGAUAUUGCAUUAAACUAAGUCACAUAAAUUUUUGGUUUCCCAAUGCAUAUAAAAGUUAUGUUUACACUAUGUUGUAGUCUAUUAAGUGUGCAAUAGCAUUAUGUCUAAUAAAACAAUGUACAUACCUUAAUUUAAACAUGCCUUAUUGCUAAAAAAUGCUAACCAUCAUCUGAGCCUUCAGUGAGUCAUAAUCUUUUUGUUGGUGAAGGGUUUUACCUUCAAUUUGUGAAAAAUACAGUAGCUGCAAAGCAUAAUAAAGUGAAGCACAAUAAAACAAGGUAUGCCUGUAAUGCAACCUUAUAAGGGGAGUGACAGUCCACUUCCUUUGCCAUAUCCUAUUGGUUAGAAGUGAGUCCCAGGUCCUUCCCACACUCAGUAGGAGAGGGUGGGAAUUAGACAGAGUAUGACUCAUUGCAGGUCAGAGUAUGUGAACCACACCUAUCCCCUCAGAGUCCUGUUAUCCUUUGGGUGAUGAACAAACAGGUAUUAUCCUUCCAUGAACAUUUGCAUUUUUAUCAGGACAUUUAGGAAAUAACAUUCUUUAUCCCAAGAUAAUUGUGAUACUAGCAGGUAUACAUACUAGUUAUGUUUGUUGCUGGUUUCCUUUGGGUUGACAGAGGAAGAGGUGGUCUCACCCCAGGAAGAAGCCAUUAAACUCUUCAGAUUCACUACUCACUUAUCCACAUCGAUUUGCCCAGUUAUUGGCAUAUAUUUCUUGAAUAUCUGCUGUGUGAUAUACAUAGUCUCUUCCUUGGUAGCCAACUUAUUUACUUCCUUCUUUUCCUUCUGUGGAGUGAAAGCAUAUUUCUUUGCUUUGAGUUAAGGUAUAGGUUAAAUUGCAAAUCACAUAAAACCCUUCAGUCCCUUCAGUGGCUAAAAAUAAGUAAGGGAUCUAUUUGAAUCACCUAACAAGAAGCCCAGGGGUAGGCAGCCCAGGGCUGGUGCAGCUGCUCAAAAAUGUCAGCAUUAUUCCAGACUCCCUCUUGCACCAGCAUCUAACUUUAGUCCUCAUUGUCACAAGCCUGCUGCUACUUCACCAGACAUUGCAUCCAUAUCUUACACAGGCAGAAGCAGGGAAAGCAAUGAAACCUGCCUUUUUAUUCUGAAAGGCUCACCUUCCACAAGGACUUCCAGCUACAUCUUAUUAGCUAGAACUUGAUCAGAUGGCCACCAGUAACUCCAAGAGAACUAGGGAAGUAAAUUUUUAAACUGGGCACUUUGCCAGUAGGAGCAAAAUCAAGGUUCUGUUACUAGGAAAAUGGGAAAUGGACUUAGGGUAGGUCAUCAGUAAGACCACUGUGGGAUCUUAGGCCUAAUCUCCAUGGUCUACAGCUGAUAGUUCUGCAGUGAUGGCAGUUGAUUCUUUCUGGGACCUUUUCACCAGCCUAGGCUGACACAGAGAUACUCUUGGUUUACUUAUUAGAAAGGCAUUGCCUGAGCAACCAGCAGCUGCUAGAAAAUGGAACUAAUGCUCUUCUACCCCAAGAGCCUGUCAUUCAGAACUUGAUAGGGUGAUAAGGGGUAUCCAUGGCCAGCCUCCAUGCUUUAGGGUAAACAGUGCUUUAGGGCAGAGAUCAAUUUUCCUUCCCUUUAAAAAACACACCACACACAAAUGUUGAGAGAGUCUCACACAAGCCCUAAACCUGUUUGCCCUCUGGCCGAUUUCACUUGCUCCCUCUCUGCUCUGGUUGUGAGGGGCUGACUCCUGAUAAUUUCCUUUUGAUUGUAGGUUAUUCUUGGCUAAGAAGGAGCACUGGCAGGAGAUUGGAGGAUGGGAGGAAGGAAGAGGGGUUUUCCCCUCCUUUCCACUGUGGGUAAUAUCACCACAGCAGCUGUGGCUCCAUGGUAACUCCAGCACUCGCCCACCCCUAUCCCUUCCCCUACCGCCACCACCACCAAAGGCCUAGUGUGGUUUCUACUUUGCUAAGCAACCCUAGUCCCUGGGCUCCAGGGACAGCACCUUCUUGUGUUGUCCCUCCAGCCAUCCAGUCCAGCCGGGGGCUGGCACUGUCUGGCUCUAAUCUCUGGGUUCUCUGCUGGGCUCCUCAGUCUCCCAUCUCCUGUGUGACUAAUACCCUGUGUCAAAUCCCUCUGUUUUAAAUAUUUAAGCGGUUUUUGCCUCCUCAUUAGGUUCUGACUCAUGCAAACAGUGCAAUAAACACCCAAAGACUCGUCACUUAGAUUUAACAAUGUUUGCCACUCUGCCUGACUCCAUCAAUUUUUAUUUUUGUAAGGAAAAACAUUCCAGACAUCACGAUAUUGCUUUCAGUAUGAUUUCAGUAUGUAUCUCUAAAAGAAAAGAACAUUUUCUUACAUAACAAGCAUAUUUAAAUUUUUCCCACCUAUGUUCCCACAUUAACAUACUUAACAAAAUGAGCAGGUUUCUUAUGGUCAUCUAAUGUCCAACCCAUAUUUAAAUUCUCCCAAUUGUUCCAAAGGUAUUUAUUUUACAGUUAGUCUGUUUGAAUGAAAAUUCAAACAAGGUCCAUGUAGUACGUUUGGUAGGUAGGUUUCCUGAGUGGCUUUUCAUUUUGAACAGUCCUUCCGCCACAAGAUGUCACACACAUAAACAUACACACACACACUGAGAGCACAGCCAUACCGAGCCUCUGACUCCACCUGUCCGUGCCCACUUCUCCCACAGCCCCUUACACAAAUAAACUGCUUUCUCAGCAUCAGUCCACAGCCUCUCACAAGGCACAGACCCUCUCCCCCCACACUGAACUCUGGACCACACAGGCUACAAGUCACUGCGCCACAGCUUAGUAUUUAACUCUUUUUAAUGUUUUCUAUAAUUUGUUGUUUUGUUUUCCUAAUAGUGUGUAAAGCCACAUGGAAGCAAUAACUAAGCCUCUUGACUUUUAACCACGAAGGGAUCUUAAAGGUCAUCUCAUCUAAGUCAUGACAAUUUUUUUAUAGAUUUACAAAUUCUAUAUACAAGUCAGACAUCAUCCCUCAUUUUACAGGUGAGGAAACCAAGGCCAGGGACAUUGCAUAAUUUAUCCAGGAACACACACCAGCCAACUGCACAGCAUGCAAUCCAUCUGCGGUGGGUUUUCCACUGGACCAUGCACCUCUGUCUUCCCAUUCUCCUGAAACAUAGGAAUGCUCACUAAAUGGCCAUUGCCUGAUAGAUGGGUUAAGGCUCUGGAUCUGAUUUUUAAUUACUUGAGGUGAGUGAAAUUGUGGCUAUUUAGAGAUACUUGUUGAAAGUAAAUGAUUGGUAGUUUCUGGCCAAAAAUCCAACUCUAUACUGCAAUCCCUUUGAAUUUUCAGGGAGUGUUUGACCCACUGGGAACCAGAAGACUUUAGUGAUGGCUAAUAGUCAGCCAGCUAAUCUUAGGGAAAAGAGUCCCAAAAAGAAAAUAUCAAAAUAUACUAUACUUGUAAACCCACAGAGACAGAAAAUAGUUCAAUGGUUCCAGGGCCUGGGGAGAGGGAAGAAUGGAAGUAUCUGACUGAUGGGCAUAGGGUUUCACUUUGGGGUAAUUGAAAUGUUUUGAAAUUGUAUCAAUGUAAUGGUUGCAUAAUGUUGUCAAUGUACUGAAUACCAAUGAACUUUUCACUUUAAAGUGGUCAAUUUUGUUAUGUGGAUUUCAGCCCAAUAAAAAUAUAGUACACUUAACAGUAUUAAUGUCUUAACUGAGCUCCUCUAGACCUGCACACCAGCCUUCCCACCAUCUCAGACUAUGGUUCACAACCUCAAGAAGCAUCAUACAUUUCUGCCCAUGCUCAUGUGCCCCUGCCAUUUGCCAUGAAAAGGGCAUGCCCUGGGUACCCACUGGCCCAAGGAAGAGGGGAGAAUGUGGAGCAGUUGUCAAACCAACCAGCAGCAUCAGCCUGAGGUCAAAGUCAGGAGUCCACAGCCUGGAGCUCAGCCUGGAGCUCAGCCUGGUCCAGGUGCCUUACAGCCAACCGUUCUACACCACUGAGGUUUGACAAAGUCAUCAAC